CUUCCUCGACCUGCUGCGGGCAGAUGAAAUGCACAUGCGUAUCGAACCCUCCGGCCGUCACGAUCUUGUUCUCGCCCGCGAUCACAUCCGUGGACGUGCCGAUGAUCAUGUCCGGAUGCACGCCGUCCAUCACAUCCGGAUUGCCGGCCUUGCCGAUCGCUACGAUAAUCCCGUCCUUGAUGCCGAUGUCCGCCUUGAAGAUCCCCGACCAAUCGAUAAUCAGCGCAUUCGUGAUGACGGUAUCCAAGCACUCCUUCUCGGACCGCUCGGAGGCCUGACCCAUGCCCUCACGGAUG
rnacentral:sRNA from 1 species